AGUGAACGCUGGCGGUAGGCCUAACACAUGCAAGUCGAACGGCAGCACAGUGAGAGCUUGCUCUUACGGGUGGCGAGUGGCGGACGGGUGAGGAAUACAUCGGAAUCUACUUUUUCGUGGGGGAUAACGUAGGGAAACUUACGCUAAUACCGCAUACGACCUACGGGUGAAAGCAGUGGAUCUUCGGACCUUGCGCGAUUGAAUGAGCCGAUGUCGGAUUAGCUAGUUGGCGGGGUAAAGGCCCACCAAGGCGACGAUCCGUAGCUGGUCUGAGAGGAUGAUCAGCGACACUGGAACUGAGACACGGUCCAGACUCCUACAGGAGGCAGCAGUGGGGAAUAUUGGACAAUGGGCGCAAGCCUGAUCCAGCCAUACCGCGUGGGUGAAGAAGGCCUUCGGGUUGUAAAGCCCUUUUGUUGGGAAAGAAAGGCAGCAGGUUAAUACCCCGCUGUUCUGACGGUACCCAAAGAAUAAGCACCGGCUAACUUCGUG
rnacentral:rRNA from 1 species